UACGGGGGGAGCAAGCGUUGUUCGGAUUUACUGGGCGUAAAGGGCGCGUAGGCGGCCACCGCAAGUCGACUGUGAAAUCUCCGGGCUUAACCCGGAAAGGUCAGCCGAUACUGCGGGGCUAGAGUGCAGAAGGGGCAACUGGAAUUCUCGGUGUAGCGGUGAAAUGCGUAGAUAUCGAGAGGAACACCUGAGGUGAAGACGGGUUGCUGGGCUGACACUGACGCUGACAGCGCGAAAGCCAGGGGAGCAAACGGG
rnacentral:rRNA from 1 species